rnacentral:lncRNA from 1 species
GUUUUGUUUAUAAUUUUUGUAUUCGUCAAUUUUAUGUUGUGGGCUUCUGCCUAUGGAUUUUGGAGAAUGGAAUGAUGAUAAUGACCGUUGUCGUUAUCAUAUUUAUUUUUAGCAUAAGUAGAUGUUAGAGCAUGUAAACAUUGUGACUAUGAGUAAAAGACAUUCAAAGUUUAUUAACGGUACCUAAGUUUAGGGAUCAAUGUUGAGAAUUGGAGAACGACAUGAUGAUCAUUUAUUUCCCUAUUGGUUUGAUUGCCCAGAUGAUGGCACAAUGUAUUAGCUCUAUCUGAUCGUUCUCCUUAAAUAAGUUAUAUCAAUUUUAUUAAUUGUGUGCAUUUCAGUUGAGUUAUUGUAUUUUAUUAAUGGGCGUUCAAAUUUGAUUAACGCUAGUUAAGUUUAGGGAUCAAUGGUUAGAAUAGGAGAAUGACGUGAUGAUCAUUUAUUUCCCUAUUGGUUUGAUUGCCUAGAUGAUGGCACAAUGUAUUAGCUCUAUCUGAUCAUUCUCCUUAAUUAAAUUGGAACAAUCUUAUUAGUUACUAAUGUUUUUGUGGUUAUACUUUGGGUAAAGGACAUUCAAAGUUGACUAACGCUUCUUAAGUUUAUCGAUCAAUGUUGAGAAUUGGAGAAUGAUAUGAUGAUCAUUUAUUUCCCUAUUGGUUUGAUUGCCCAGAUGAUGGCACAAUGUAUUAGCUCUAUCUGAUCAUUCUCCUUAAAUAAAGUAUAAUUGUAAACUGUGUGAAUAUUAGUUGAAUUAUUGUAUUUUUUACUCAGUUGAAAAUUAUUAUGAAAUCUAUCAAUGUUCUGUCCAGUGAAAUUUUCUCCUUGUUCCUUUGUCUUUUCUGGUUGAUGAUAUUUUUGUAGUUACCUAUUAUUGAUCAUUUUCUUUAUUUAUACUAUUUGUAACUUACAUUUGAAGUUCAUUAAUGCCACCUAAGUUCAGUGAUCAAUGUUGAGAAUUGGAGAAUGACGUGAUGAUCAUUUAUUUCCCUAUUGGUUUGAUUGCCUAGAUGAUGGCACAAAUGUAUUAGCUCUAUCUGAUCGUUCUCCUUAAAUAAAUUAAAACAAUCUUAUAAACUGUGUGUAGUCGAAUCAAUAUAUGUUACUGAGUUUAUAAUUAUUAUGAAAUCUAUCAUAGUUGUGUCAAGUGAAAUUAUUUUCCUGGUUCCUUUUUGUGUUUACUGGUGGAUGAUAUUUUAGAGGUUAUCUAUUAUUGAUCAUUGUCUUCAUUUAUCUUCUAUUGUUAUACAACUAUAUUAUAUAUUUAUAUAGUAUUUGAAGUGAAACAUGCUAUUUCCUUUGUUAAUUGUACUGUUCAUGCUUUUGCUACAUUUUUAGCUAAAUAUCAAUGAUGUAGCAAUUGGAGAAUGACAUGAUGAUUAAUUGUUUCCCUAUUGGUUUGAUUGCCAGUAUGAUGGCACAACUGUAUUAGCU